rnacentral:tRNA from 1 species
AUAAUGAAGUAAAAAUUACAUUUAGUUUCGACCUAAACUUAGGGGUUAACCCCUUAUCUAU